AGAACAUGACCCACGAACCAUGAAAAAUGGCCUAGCCUGGGAUAUUGAUAAUUUCCGUAUAUAAUAAUCUUCUGGAUAUAGGCUUUCUAGAAAUGUUUUUCUUUUUUUCAUAUAUUCUAUACUUUUUUGUUAAUAUGACGUUGAAUAUUGUGGUAUUUAAUGUUAAAAAAUUAACAUUUCGGGAUACACGUCACAACAAUAAACCUGCAAUGACCAUGUACAAUGUACAUGAACCUAUAAAUCUCUGAAUAUAUCAAGUUAUAUGCACUCAAAUAGCUAGAAUGGCUAAUUCAAUGAUCAUAAUAAGCAUUUUUGACCAAAUAUGGGAAAUAGAAAUAAGAAAUAUUUUGGAAAUGAUGUUCAAAGCCGUGAUUGUUCAACUUUACUUUUAAAUUAUUUUUACUUGAAUUUUGAAAUACUGAAAUAAGAAUAAAUAUAGUAUGUAGUCUAUUUACAUGGUGAAAGAAGUGAAUCAUUGGAACAAUUCUGUUUCAUAUCAUAUUCCAUGGUUUUUGGAUUUUGUUUUGUUUUUUUGGUUGUUUUUUGUUUUGUUUUUUGUAUUAAAACGACCGAGUAUCGAUAUCAAUGGUAACGAAAUAAGUUGACACCGCGUCUCGUCAAAACAUGUUCAAUUCGAAUUUACUCGGAAUUACACGGCCAACGAGCAUUUGCUGUGAAACCUGAUUAAAGGAAAAUUACUGUAGACACCUAAUAGUAAGUAUCAAAUGAUCUUUUUUGUUACAUGUACAUGUAGAUUUCAUAGCGUGAAUAAUAACAACACAACACCGAUAUAGGGGAUCAGAGUCAGUAUAUUAUUGACUCUGAAAAUACGAUUUGAGAAAUGAUACUGUAUAAAUUUUACUGUAUUUAUCUUGAUCAAUAAUUGCAUAUUCCUAUACGUAUUAAUCAUGUAAAGAUACUGAGGUCUUUUAACCAACAAUUUUAAAUGCUUGUGCCAGGGCCGUAAAUUACAUGGAGGCGGAGGAGGCAGCUGCCUCCUCCAACUUUUGAGCCAAAAAAAAUUAAAAUUUAAAGUUCAUAUAGAAUUUAUGUUGUUUCCAAUAACUAAGAACAUGAUACCUCCCUUAAAAAGCAUUCCAAAUCUUUCUUUUAGAAUGAGUUAGUCAAGUAACAUCUUAGAAGGCCCUAGAAUCAAGGAUUUUGCACGAAACGUGUUCAGUGUGCACAAAAUGUGCUCAACGUCUGGGGGCCUGGGGCCCCAGACCCCCGCCUAAUUUUCUGCCUCCUCCAAAUUGAAGGUUAAUUUACGGCCCUGCAGUGUGCAAUACAUUAUUGACUGACAGAACGUAAUUCAUGAGCUGUGAUCUAAAAAUCUUCCAGACAUUAAUAUAGAUUUGAAUAGAAUUACAUCUAGAUACAUAUUUGAAAUGGAAUAUAUCCUAAGGCACUGUAGUUUUAAAUUGUUUGGAUUAUAUUGCAUUUACAUGUAAUUUAUACAUGCUUGUAAAUGCCACAGAAUGAGAAAUAAUCUAAAUUGGCCUAUUUUCAUAAUGUUCCCAAAAUAGAAGUAUCAUGUAGAUCUAUACAGGAAAUAACAUUUACAAAUCAUGUUUGUUGUUUGUUAUUUGCCAGUUAAGGUAUUCAAUGUAUAAUGACCAUAUUUCAUAUCUAAUAAAUGGAUCGUGGAAUAUUUGUAAUCAUGGUAUCAUUGUGAAGGGUUCAUCAAAUAAAAAUAACCCACGGUAGGAAUUUUCUAAAUUUUGUUUACUGCUUGAUAUAUUUCACCUAGAAUUUAACAUUGAAGUAUAUGGGAAAAGCAUCUUUUAUUACAAUAUUUUAAAAACAAAUUAUAUAUUCAUACUAAUCUCUUGGUAGAAAGUUACAUACACUUUCUUUUUAUGAAAAUAUGAAAUAAAAUUAAUCAUUGACCACACACAUUUUUAGAAAAUUAGAUUUUCCUUAUUUUUACAAAGGGCAGACAACUCUUCCAAAAAGUCUUAAGUGCAAAAAGGUCAGCUUCUAAUCAUUUACCAGUCAUGUGAAUUUCAUCUGCUUCACUUCCAUCAUUAUUUAACAAUAAAGUUUUAUGUUGAUCUAAAUCCUUCAAAAUUGUUCAUUAUCCUUUCAUUAUACAUGGAAUACCUUAAGUAUCAUAAUGAUAAUACUAGUAGUUCAUGAUAAGUAAUUAUUAUGCUAAAAUCAAAUACCCUUUUUAUUGUCAACAAAUACAUCACUGGUAGAAAGGUUAUAAAGCUUUUAUAUAGCACAAGUUUCCAUAUUCUACAGGUUUACAUAUGUCAGCAAGUCCUCAAAAGCAGCUUUAGGGGUUCCCAGGAGAUUCUGAUGCUCACUGUGAUUUGUACAGAAGCGAAUGAUGGCCUCUUUUGAAAUUAAGAUUUCAUGCCUUACUCCUACUGGGACUACAACUAACUUUGGACCUGGUCACUCGCAGAUACAGCAUGAAGUGUGCCCUCUUGAUGUACAUGGGGAUGGGAGUGAUACAGAAGGGGGACUAAUUGGAAGAACUGCUACUGCUGGUGGUGGUGCUGGACUGUCUUGAAUCUGUUGCCUAACCGACUUGAUAUUCUUCUGUUUAAUAUGGGAGCAACACACACACUCUGGCAUAUAUUGCACAGAAAAUCAUGAUCAGAUGGUGCCCUCCCUAUCAGAGUGGUGAUCACUGUCCUAUAUUUCUUUGAAAUCCUGGAUCUGUGUUUUGGUUUUACUCUCCAUGGACAGUUGAAACAGAGAAAGAAUUAGGGACCACUCCUUGGCAUAUCUGAAAUAUUUAUGUCAUAUACAUGUAAUUAAAAUAUACAAUUUGGGUUGGAUGAAAAUCUUAUCUUCAUGUUAAAACCCAUUAGCCUAGGUUAUUUUUCCUAAAAUCUAAUUAUAAAUCAAUUAACUUGUUAAUUAAUGCUUGGUGAAUCAAUUAAUAAAUUGUAUUCAAAAACUUGAAAUUAUUUUUUUUCCACUAAUAAACUGAAAAUGUGUAUCUUCAAA